rnacentral:misc_RNA from 1 species
CCAAUAGCGUAUAUUAAAGUUGUUGCAGUUAAAAAGCUCGUAGUUGAAUUUCGGGAUCAGUAGGUCGGUCGUGCCACUGGUAUGAACUGGUCUCACUGGUUCCUCCCUCUUGACGAACUGCAAUGCUAUUAAUUUAGUGUUGUAGGAAAUCAGGACUGUUACUUUGAAAAAAUUAGAGUGUUUAAAGCAGGCUUUGGCUCGAAUACAUUAGCAUGGAAUAAUGAAAUAGGACGUUCGAUCCUAUUUUGUUGGCUUCUAGGAUUGACGUAAUGAUUAAUAGGGACAGUUGGGGGCAUUAGUAUUCAAUUGUCAGAGGUGAAAUUCUUGGAUUUAUUGAAGACUAACUACUGCGAAAGCAUUUGCCAAGGAUGUUUUCAUUAAUCAAGAACGAAAGUUAGGGGAUCGAAGACGAUCAGAUACCGUCGUAGUCUUAACCAUAAACUAUGCCGACUAGGGAUCGGAUGAUGUUAAUUUUUUAAUGACUCAUUCGGCGCCUUACG